rnacentral:rRNA from 1 species
UAGGGAAUAUUGCGCAAUGGGGGAAACCCUGACGCAGCGACGCCGCGUGAGUGAUGAAGGCCUUAGGGUCGUAAAGCUCUGUUGAAUGGGAAGAAAAAAAUGACGGUACCAUUCGAGAAAGGACCGGCUAACUUCGUGCCAGCAGCCGCGGUAAGACGAGGGGUCCUAGCGUUGUUCGGAAUCAUUGGGCGUAAAGCGUGUGUAGGCCGCCUUGCAAGUCAGUUGUGAAAGCCCCGGGCUCAACCCGGGAAGUGCUUCUGAUACUGCAAGGCUUGAGUACUGGAGAGGGUAGUGGAAUUCCAGGUGUAGUGGUGAAAUACGUAGAUAUCUGGAGGAACACCGGUGGCGAAGGCGGCUACCUGGCCAUGUACUGACGCUGAGACACGAAAGCGUGGGGAGCAAACAGG